CGAGAACGGGAUGCAAAAUAUUGACAACUCGGAUUUUUGUUUUGAGUGACAUCAUAAUGACAUGGCGCAGGAAGUCGAAACAGCGUCCCUAAUUGGAUUGCCGAUGAUAUUACAAGUGAUGGAGGAUGGAUAAAGAUAUACCGUCAGACACACAAAGGCAUGACCAGCCAGCAAGUAUAGACCACGUACUGACGCUAAUCAACAGUUUAGUCAAAGAGAAAAACUUUCAAGAUGCUUUAGAACACACAAACACUGCCUUAGCUAAAUACAGAAACAAUGAAAAAUUACAAGAAAAGAAGAUCA